GAUGAACGCUGGCGGCGUGCCUAAUACAUGCAAGUAGAACGCUGAAGCUUGGUGCUUGCACCGAGCGGAUGAGUUGCGAACGGGUGAGUAACGCGUAGGUAACCUGCCUCUUAGCGGGGGAUAACUAUUGGAAACGAUAGCUAAUACCGCAUAAAAGUUGACAUUGCAUGAUGUUGAUUUGAAAGAUGCAAUUGCAUCACUAAGAGAUGGACCUGCGUUGUAUUAGCUAGUUGGUGAAGUAACGGCUCACCAAGGCGACGAUACAUAGCCGACCUGAGAGGGUGAUCGGCCACACUGGGACUGAGACACAGCCCAGACUCCUACGGGAGGCAGCAGUAGGGAAUCUUCGGCAAUGGGGGCAACCCUGACCGAGCAACGCCGCGUGAGUGAAGAAGGUUUUCGGAUCGUAAAGCUCUGUUGUAAGAGAAGAACGAGUGUGAGAGUGGAAAGUUCACACUGUGACGGUAACUUACCAGAAAGGGACGGCUAACUACGUGCCAGCAGCCGCGGUAAUACGUAGGUCCCGAGCGUUAUCCGGAUUUAUUGGGCGUAAAGCGAGCGCAGGCGGUUAGAUAAGUCUGAAGUUAAAGGCUGUGACUUAACCAUAGUACGCUUUGGAAACUGUUUAACUUGAGUGCAGAAGGGGAGAGUGGAAUUCCAUGUGUAGCGGUGAAAUGCGUAGAUAUAUGGAGGAACACCGGUGGCGAAAGCGGCUCUCUGGUCUGUAACUGACGCUGAGGCUCGAAAGCGUGGGGAGCAAACAGG
rnacentral:rRNA from 1 species